rnacentral:tRNA from 3 species
GAAAUAUGUUAUCAAGAAAAAGCUUCUAACUUUUUUCUUUAGUGGUUUAUUCCCAUUAAUAUUUCU